rnacentral:rRNA from 1 species
UACGGGAGGCAGCAGUGGGGAAUAUUGCACAAUGGGCGCAAGCCUGAUGCAGCCAUGCCGCGUGUAUGAAGAAGGCCUUAGGGUUGUAAAGUACUUUCAUCGGGGAGGAAAAAACAAAACUAAUAAUUUUAUUUCUUGACGUUACCCGAAAAAGAAGCACCGGCUAACUCCGUGCCAGCAGCCGCGGUAAUACGGAGGGUGCUAGCGUUAAUCAGAAUUACUGAGCGUAAAGAGCACGUAGGUGGUUUUUUUAAAGUCAGAUGUGAAAUCCCUGGGCUUAACCUAGGAACUGCAUUUUGAAACUGAAAUACUAGAGUAUCGUAGAGGGAGGUAGAAUUCUAGGUGUAGCGGUGAAAUGCGUAGAUAUCUGGAGGAAUACCUGUGGCGAAAGCGGCCUCCUAAACGAAUACUGACACUGAGGUGCGAAAGCGUGGGGAGCAAACAGGGAUUAGAUACC